AGACUCCGUCUAUAAAAUGAAGAUUGUACUCCUUUUUCCUUGGAACCAUAGAAAAGAAUGAGUGUUCUUGGACUAGAGAUUGGAAAUUUAAAUCAUUGUCAACUGGGACUAGUUUCAGAGCACGGAAUGAUGUGUGAGACUCGUCUUUUGUGAAAACCUGAAGCCUUUUGCUUGCAUCCCUCUCCUCUGAGUACAGCUUUUUUACCCACAGUAGCAGUGAAUAAUGUCAACUGCCCAGGUAGAUGUGAGAGCAGUCAGAAAGGCUAUCAGCUCAUAAGGGGAACCUCCUGAGCCUUGUGACUGGAACAACCCAAGAUUACAAUUGUGACAUAGACAUCCUCCAUCAAUUGCCUCCCUUAGGAACAAGGCAUAUUAUCAUUAUGUCUAGGAGCUUUUUCUUCAGUGGAUGCUACCUCUCUUAUGAAUUCUGAUAAGGAUUAACAACCAUGCUGACCGUGCACUUGACAGAUUAUACUUACCUGAAAUCCUGCUCACAGCUUUGCAAGCAGUCGUCAUGAAGCAAAUUGUUGGUAAAUUAAUAAAUCCUUUGAGGAUGGGAAGGGGGGAAGGAGAUUCGCCACAGUAGAAAUGCCCUCCUAAAGCUCCCUUCCCACCUGCGCUCUUCCCUUCCAAUCUCAAAGCCACCAGCAUCUGCCACUUGCUGCAAGAAAAUGAACCAAGGAGACACAACUAAGGGAAGAAGUAAAGCCUGAUAUCUUUGCGGCUGUGUUGGCAGAGUCGAGCCAAGGCUAAGGAUUGCUCUGCCAAGUGACCUGGCUUCUUGAACUUAAUUUUCCAUUCUGUUGGCACCUUCUAGGUCUUCUUCCUCAGACUAGGCCAAGUGAAAAGUUAGAGAUCAUUAAGCAGAGAGAGUGACAUCUUCUCAGGAGAAUAUUAACCCAUGGAGACCUAAGUGGAUUUCUUCUAGCUUUUUGUACCUUUGGAAUUUUCUGAUACAUUGGUUGGGCCAUGGGAUGUUUUCAAUAGUUUUAGCUUCUCGGCAUAGCACUUCUAACAAUUCUGAAAAAUGUGAAACCAUAUACGGAAAGCUGAGACUCCUCUGAGGCCAGUGGCAAAGACUAACGCACU